UACGUAGGGUGCAAGCGUUAAUCGGAUUUACUGGGCGUAAAGCGUGCGCAGGCGGUUUUGUAAGUCUGUCGUGAAAUCCCCGGGCUCAACCUGGGAAUUGCGAUGGAGACUGCAAGGCUAGAAUCUGGCAGAGGGGGGUAGAAUUCCACGUGUAGCAGUGAAAUGCGUAGAGAUGUGGAGGAACACCGAUGGCGAAGGCAGCCCCCUGGGUCAAGAUUGACGCUCAUGCACGAAAGCGUGGGGAGCAAACAGG
rnacentral:rRNA from 1 species